UGUAUGUGUGUGUGUGUGUGUGUGUGUGUGCGUAUGUAUGUAUGCAUAUAUAUACAUCUAUCUAUAUAUAUAUAUAUAUAUACACACACACACACACACAUACAUACAUACACU
rnacentral:miRNA from 1 species